rnacentral:rRNA from 1 species
GAUGAACGCUGGCGGCGUGCCUAAUACGUGCAAGUCGAGCGAACAGAUAAGGAGCUUGCUCCUUUGACGUUAGCGGCGGACGGGUGAGUAACACGUGGAUAACCUACCUAUAAGACUGGGAUAACUUCGGGAAACCGGAGCUAAUACCGGAUAACAUAUUGAACCGCAUGGUUCAAUAGAGAAAGGCGGCUUUGCUGUCACUUAUAGAUGGAUCCGCGCCGUAUUAGCUAGUUGGUAAGGUAACGGCUUACCAAGGCAACGAUACGUAGCCGACCUGAGAGGGUGAUCGGCCACACUGGAACUGAGACACGGUCCAGACUCCUACGGGAGGCAGCAGUAGGGAAUCUUCCGCAAUGGGCGAAAGCCUGACGGAGCAACGCCGCGUGAGUGAUGAAGGUCUUCGGAUCGUAAAACUCUGUUAUCAGGGAAGAACAAAUGUGUAAGUAACUGUGCACAUCUUGACGGUACCUGAUCAGAAAGCCACGGCUAACUACGUG